GUAUUUACUUUGCUUAGCUUUUACUAUAUCUAUUUUUUUUAAAAAAUGUUUUGUAUAAAUAUAUAUAUAUAUUUUAGGUUAUAAACACCACAAUGGACUGGAGGGUUAUUCUGGCUAUCUUGUGUCUGAUUGCCACAAGUUCCGCAGACAAUUCUACGAGUAAUUCAAAUUCAACAAACACUUCUGCAGUAGCUGCAACAUUCAACUUGGUCUUUAGCAUCAAUGAAACCUUUGUUGAAGAAAUGGCCAAUACCAGCUCUCCACAGUUCACAGCAAAAGCUACAACGAUCCGCCAUCAGCUUGAACCAAUUUACAGACAAACCUUCACAAACUUCAUCCAG
ensembl:lncRNA